UUCCAGGUCGUCAAGAGGCUUAAGACACCGGUCUCGUGGGAUGUAAUAGUUUACGUAGUAUGGGGGCAGAACCUGUAUCUCGCUUAAAACCGGCAUCGGGGGUUCGAAUCCCUCCCUGGAAA
rnacentral:tRNA from 1 species